rnacentral:rRNA from 1 species
UUUUGUGGGGUGCUCGAGUGGCGAACGGGUGAGUAACACGUGAGUAACCUGCCCUUGACUUUGGGAUAACUUCAGGAAACUGGGGCUAAUACCGGAUAGGAGCUCCUGCUGCAUGGUGGGGGUUGGAAAGUUUCGGCGGUUGGGGAUGUACUCGCGGCUUAUCAGCUUGUUGGUGGGGUAGUGGCUUACCAAGGCUUUGACGGGUAGCCGGCCUGAGAGGGUGACCGGCCACAUUGGGACUGAGAUACGGCCCAG